AUGGCUCCCUCCCUGUUGACAACAAUUGUUCCGUUUUUCAUGACUUGAUGUACAUGAUUGACCCCGUAGUGAUACGG
rnacentral:tRNA from 1 species